GAGUUUGAUCAUGGCUCAGAACGAACGCUGGCGGCAUGCCUCAUACAUGCAAGUCGAACGAGGUCUUCGGACCUAGUGGCGCACGGGUGAGUAACAUGUGGGAAUCUACCUGAAGGUUCGGAAUAACUGCGGGAAACUGUAGCUAAUACCGGAUGUGUCUGCAAAGAGAAAGAUUUAUCGCCUUCAGAUGAGCCCGCAUUAGAUUAGCUAGUUGGUGAGGUAAUUGCUCCACCAAGGCUACGAUCUAUAGCUGAUUUGAGAGGAUGAUCAGCCACACUGGGACUGAGACACGGCCCAGACUCCUACGGGAGGCAGCAGUAGGGAAUAUUGGACAAUGGGGGAAACCCUGAUCCAGCAAUGCCGCGUGAGUGAAGAAGGCCUUCGGGUUGUAAAGCUCUUUCAUCAAUGAUGAUAAUGACAUUAGUUGAAGAAGAAGCCCCGGCUAACUUCGUGCCAGCAGCCGCGGUAAUACGAAGGGGGCUAGCGUUGUUCGGAAUCACUGGGCGUAAAGCGUAUGUAGGCGGAUCAAAAAGUUAGAUGUGAAAUCCCUGGGCUCAACCCAGGAACUGCAUUUAAAACUAGUGAUCUAGAAUUUGGUAGGGGUUAGUAGAAUUUCCAGUGUAGAGGUGAAAUUCGUAGAUAUUGGAAAGAAUACCAGUGGCGAAGGCGACUAACUGGGCCAUUUUUGACGCUGAGAUACGAAAGCGUGGGUAGCAAACAGGAUUAGAUACCCUGGUAGUCCACGCAGUAAACGAUGAGUGCUAGUCGCUGGGACAAUAGUUUCAGUGUCGAAGCUAACGCAUUAAGCACUCCGCCUGGGAAGUACGGUCGCAAGAUUAAAACUCAAAUAAAUUGACGGGGGCCCGCACAAGCGGUGGAGCAUGUGGUUUAAUUCGAAGCAACGCGAAGAACCUUACCAGACCUUGACAUGGUGUGUUUGAAUUACAGAAUCGUAAUUCUUCAGUUCGGCUGGCACACACACAGGUGCUGCAUGGCUGUCGUCAGCUCGUGUCGUGAGAUGUUGGGUUAAGUCCCGCAACGAGCGCAACCCUCAUUUUUAGUUGCCAUCAGGUUAUGCUGGGCACUCUAAAAAAACUGCCGGUGAUAAGCUGGAGGAAGGCGGGGAUGACGUCAAGUCCUCAUGGCCCUUACGGUCUGGGCUACACACGUGCUACAAUGGUGGUGACAGUGGGCAGCAAUACUGCAAAGUAGAGCUAAUCCCAAAAAGCCAUCUCAGUUCGGAUUGGACUCUGCAACUCGAGUCCAUGAAGUUGGAAUCGCUAGUAAUCGUAGAUCAGCGUGCUACGGUGAAUACGU
rnacentral:rRNA from 1 species